UACAGAGGUCUCAAGCGUUGUUCGGAUUUACUGGGCGUAAAGGGCGCGUAGGCGGCGCGACAAGUCACUUGUGAAAUCUCUGGGCUUAACUCAGAGCGGCCAAGUGAUACUGUCGUGCUAGAGUGCGGAAGGGGCAACUGGAAUUCUCGGUGUAGCGGUGAAAUGCGUAGAUAUCGAGAGGAACACCUGCGGCGAAGGCGGGUUGCUGGGCCGACACUGACGCUGAGGCGCGAAAGCCAGGGGAGCAAACGGG
rnacentral:rRNA from 1 species